AAGCAGGGGUAUAAACGCAAAGUACGGGCUUGGCGUAGGGUGAGGGACCCAGGGGCAGGAGACCCAGAAAGGUCUGAAGAGUUCAGUGCUUUUUUUUGCCUUGUUUCUCAGGAAUCCCGAAUUCCUGUGCCAGGAGGCAGUACCUGUGGGAAUGCAGCGUGACACAACAGCUCAGUUGGGGACCACUGAAGCCAACUAGACAUGGACAAGCCCGUGGGACCAGACAGGGUGCGGUGGGCUGAUCACAGAGUCAUUGAGGUUGGAAAAGACCUCCAAGAUCACCCCUCUACCACCAUCACCCAUUAAAUUGUGAGGAACAAAGCUGUGUUUUUGCAGUAGAAACGACCCCUCAGUGUCCCUCAGCACCACGUCCAACCUUUCCUUAAACACCCCAGGGACAGUGAUGCUACCAUGUCCCUGGGCAACCCAUUCCAACGCCUGACUGCUCUUUCUGAGAAGAAAUGUCUCCUCAUUUCCAACCUGAACCUCCCCUGGUGCAACUUGAGGCCAUUCUCUCUUGUCCUAUUGCUAGUUAUCCGCGAGAAGAGGCCGACCCCCAGCUCCCCACAACUGUAGUUGUAGAGUGCGAUGAGGCCUCCCCGAGCCUCCUCUUCUCCAGACUAAACAACACCAGUUCCCUCAGCCACUCCUCACAGGACUUGUGUUCCAGACCCUUCACCAGACACACUACUUGGCCUUGAUGUCUUUGUUGUAGUGCGGGGCCUGGAACUGAACACAGUACUCGAGGUGCAGCCUCACCAGAGCUGAGUACAGGGGGACGAUCACCUCCCUGCUCCUGCUGGCUACUCUAUUUCUAAUACAGGCCAGGGUGCCGUUGGCCUUCUUGGCCACCUGGGCACACUGCCGGCUCAUGUUCAGCCAAGCAUUGAUCAACAUUCCCGGAUCCUUUUCCUCCGCGCAGCUUUCCAGCCACCCUGCCCCAAGCCUGUAGCGCUGCACGGGGUUAUUGUGGCCAAAGUGCAGGACCCGGCACUUGGCCUUGCUGAACCUCAUCCCCUUGGCCUCUGCCCAUCGACCCAUCCUGUCCAGGCCCCUCUGCGGGGCCUCCCUACCCUCCGGCAGGUCGACACUUCCCCCCAGCUUGGUGUGCCUGCAAGUCUGCUAUCGGUGCUCUCCAAAAAGUCCCAGCGUCUAAGAAAGGCUCCCAAUGGCUGGGAAGAGGGAAAUAUCACAACAGCCUUCAAGAAUACCACGACCAAAACGCAGGCCAGCCAACUUCACCCCUGUCCUUGGGAAGGCUGUAGGGCAAGUGCUCCUGGAAACCACCUCCGGGCACGUGAUAGGCAAGAAGGGGGCUGAGAGCAGCAGAGCAGGCUUGAAGUCAAACCACGUGGCCAGCCUGACCGGCCUCCGUGACAAGCGGCCGCGCGGAUGAGGGGACAGCAGCGGACACUGACUGUCUUAACGUUAAGGAGGCCGUCAGCAAGGUACCCGCACAGGAGGCGUUCGUGCUGACGACUGGUUAUUACGGAUGGCAAAGCGGCUGGACUGCCGAGCCCAAGGCCCAGCCGGCGGCGGGGUGCCAACACCGCCUCCAGGACCCGACAGAGGGGCCGACGCCAUUUAUCGCCUCUGCUCGCGGGCAGGAGGACGGCGGCACGCUGCACCCCGCAGCCAGCCGGGGCACGGCAGGCAGCGGUCGGUCAGCGGGCCGCGGGGCAGAGCGGCCGCCGGAGGGGCCUCGCGAGGCAGGAACCGCCGAGAGCUCGGCGCCGGCCGAGGCGGAGCCCUGCGCAGCGGGGGCCGUGCUGGGACGUGCUGGGGGCCGGGCCGGGCCCCGCGGGAGCCGCGGCACCCCCAGAGCGACAGAGCCACCGGGUCACGGUCGCCCGGCUGGGAAGGGGCCCCCGAGCCGCCCCGGC